UUCAGACGAUACAGAGAAGAUUAGCCUGGCCCCUGCGCAAGGAUGACAUGCAAAUACGUGAAGCGUUCCAUAUUUUA
rnacentral:snRNA from 1 species